rnacentral:rRNA from 1 species
GAUGAACGCUGGCGGCGUGCCUAAUACAUGCAAGUCGAGCGAACAGAUGAGGAGCUUGCUCCUCUGACGUUAGCGGCGGACGGGUGAGUAACACGUGGAUAACCUACCUAUAAGACUGGGAUAACUUCGGGAAACCGGAGCUAAUACCGGAUAAUAUAUUGAACCGCAUGGUUCAAUAGUGAAAGACGGUUUUGCUGUCACUUAUAGAUGGAUCCGCGCCGCAUUAGCUAGAUGGUAAGGUAACGGCUUACCAAGGCAACGAUGCGUAGCCGACCUGAGAGGGUGAGCGGCCACACUGGAACUGAGACACGGUCCAGACUCCUACGGGAGGCAGCAGUAGGGAAUCUUCCGCAAUGGGCGAAAGCCUGACGGAGCAACGCCGCGUGAGUGAUGAAGGUCUUCGGAUCGUAAAACUCUGUUAUUAGGGAAGAACAAAUGUGUAAGUAACUAUGCACGUCUUGACGGUACCUAAUCAGAAAGCCACGGCUAACUACGUG